AACGAACGCUGGCGGCAUGCCUAACACAUGCAAGUCGAACGAUACCGUCUGGUCUUUUUGCGCACGGGUUCGGCAGGCGACGGGAGCUUCCCGUAGGUGCGGAAUACCUCCCCGCAGGGGGUGCUAAUACGGGAUAAUUUCUUCUGACCAAUGAUAUCUUUGCACGGGAGGGGCACGCGUGGGAGUAGCUAUUUGGUAACGUAAAAGACUACCAAGGUUACGAUCCCUAGCUGGUCUGGGAGGAUGAUCAGACACACUGGGACUGUGACACGGCCCAGACUCCUACGGGAGGCAGAAGUGGGGAAUAUUGGACAAUGGGCGAGAGCAUGAGCCAGCAAUGCCGCGUGAGUGAUGAAGGACUUAGGGUUGUAAAGCUCUUUUAACCGGGAUGAUAAUGACGGUACCGGGAGAAUAAGCGACGGCUAACUCCGUG
rnacentral:rRNA from 1 species